rnacentral:rRNA from 1 species
GAUGAACGCUGGCGGCGUGCCUAAUACAUGCCAGUCGAGCGAACAGAUGAGGAGCUUGCUCCUCUGACGUUAGCGGCGGACGGGUGAGUAACACGUGGAUAACCUACCUAUAAGACUGGGAUAACUUCGGGAAACCGGAGCUAAUACCGGAUAAUAUAUUGAACCGCAUGGUUCAAUAGUGAAAGACGGUUUUGCUGUCACUUAUAGAUGGAUCCGCGCCGCAUUAGCUAGUUGGUAAGGUAACGGCUUACCAAGGCAACGAUGCGUAGCCGACCUGAGAGGGUGAUCGGCCACACUGGAACUGAGGCACGGUCCAGACUCCUACGGGAGGCAGCAGUAGGGAAUCUUCCGCAAUGGGCGAAAGCCUGACGGAGCAACGCCGCGUGAGUGAUGAAGGUCUUCGGAUCGUAAAACUCUGUUAUUAGGGAAGAACAAAUGUGUAAGUAACUAUGCACGUCUUGACGGUACCUAAUCAGAAAGCCACGGCUAACUACGUG